rnacentral:tRNA from 1 species
CCUGGUGGCUCAGAGGUAAAAGUACCUGCCUCCAAUGCGGGAGACCCAGGUUCAAUCCCUGGGUCAGGA